rnacentral:lncRNA from 1 species
GAGAAGGAACUGUCUCCACAGACCUAAACCGUUGGCCACCCUUACUGGGAUCCAAAGGUAAACUCUCAAGAAAUACUCAUUGCAGACCAAAGCCAUUUUCUAUUUCCUGAAAGUAAGAUCGUUUCUAAAAAACGAUUCUUGCUAUAUACCUCAUUACCAUUUCUUUUCUCUUUGUUAACUAUAAUUAUCUUAGUCUUAAACUUUAUACUACAUACCAAGUAUCUGACUUGUCUUAAACUUUUGAGUUUGACCAUCUUAGUUCUGUGGCCCCGAAAAGGAAAACUGGUUUCACAUUCACUCUUUCUGUUGCAGAAAUGGGCAAAGUAAAGAGGCAUUUUAUACAUCCUUAAUUAAUUUCAUAUUUAUGUCGUCCUCCUCUUUGGAUUCACAGAUCUAGACCAGUAAUUAGUAAGUGGCUGCCCUGAUGAACAAAGGGGCGUGGGCCAGAGCGGGAGUGAGGAAGUUGUUCUCUAAAUCCAUUUCUGUUUCAAACAUCUUUUAUACAUAUUACUAAAGAGAACAGAGCAAGAAAUGCAAAUAAUAAUAGUUCUUUAUUUUAUUAUGACAGUUAAUUAAUAGCAACCUGUUUUAAUGAAUAAAGUCACUCAGAGUCCUUCAGCACUUCCUAAGUAGAGGCCCGAGUCUGUAGGGAUUCUUCCCCUGAUUGUAUAGCUCCUAGACUCCGAGCACUAUCUAGGCCCCUGUAUAGAAAUGCUCACUAAUGAAGAGGGAGGGCUAGAAGCUUGUCUGCAUUCAAAGAUCACUGGUGAGUCAUUCAGCAAGAAAAGGCCCCUUACCAGGCAUAGUCACAGUUCCGUAGCAUUGUACUAGCAAAAGGGUCUGAUCAAAGGUCCCCCGUGGAGCUUGCAUGGCUCCCUUUCAUACCACGACCAUAAUUAAAACCACUAAUUCUCUUUUAAAAUGCUGCAGGAUGCCAUGUAGGCAUCUGUCUGGAGUGUCCUUUGUGAUGUCAUAAGCUGUUAAGGACCAGUGCCGAGGGCUUUUGAGUGAAAUGCCAGUCAUGAAGGUGCUUCAAGACAAGGGUACCUCUAAAAGCUUGACAGGGCCUUGACUGCACAAUUCGAGCUGAAUUUGCCCCUUGUCAGCUGCCAGUAAAUAAAUCUCAAAGGGGGGAGCUGCAGUUUCAUUACCUGAUCCGUGGGGCUUUGUUGGUCUUGGCAUCACACAGGGGAAGCUCUUGCUCCUCCUUUCUGUGGAUUUGAAGAUGUCCAUUGGAGCCUGCAGUGCCUGGACAGGGUUCAGAGCGGAGCCUUUUGAAGAGUGUCAAUAGUUGUAACAGUUCAGCUGUUAGGAAGACAAAUACGUGGAGGAGCUCAUUAAUCCGCUUUGGCUCUCGGUGCCUUUUGCCCUUUUAUCACAGCCUUAUUAGGCUCCUGCUCAUCUUGAACCAGAAAAAACCGAAUUGAAGUUGUUGAGUACUAAUUGGCAAAGACUUUUAAUCAUGGGCCAAGAACUUUCACUGACUUGAAAGUAACUUCUCCACAGGGACGAGCCAGAAACCUGGUUCACCUUAAAACAAAAACCUGUUGGAGCUCAGUGUGCUGUGAGAAUCGGAGGAAGCGUCGGUAAACUGUCCAAGGCUAUCGACUCAAAGAAAUUAUGGAAGAUUAUGACUUUAGCUUUUCUAGGGGACAAGGACAAUAAAAUCCAAACGUUUCUUCAGAAAGCCUUCAUUGGUUCAGAAAAAUCACUUGAGUAUGUGUGGCAACCAUGUUUGUUUCUGAACAUCCUUCAUAUGUGUGGCUGUUCCUCUGAGGAUCUACAUAUGCACCCGGGAUUGAUCAAAAGGAGCGUUUUCCAUCUGGCCUCACGAGUGGCAACCUGAGAACACCUUUCAAAUGUGUGCCGGCGUGUAGGCGUGUCCGCUGAGUGUGCUUUGCACAUGAGUGUUAGCGCUUGGCACAGGUUGAUAUUGGCACAGCACUGACUUUAGACGGCUUGGACAAAGCAAUAAUAUAAAUAGUGUGAGACGAAAUCACCACAACUAUGUAAAUUCCUUAAAACCAACUGGAAACGAAAAACCUUCGAAUGGAACUAGCAUUUAAGGACGGUUAGCCUUGCUAGCCUGCAUUCCCAGUCAGCUAUGGAAGAACUUUUUUCCUUUCUCCUGUGUGAAGCUAAAGUUGCUUUUCCUUGUGUUCUCGCUUUUCCUUGGCUGGAGCAUAACAGCAUAAAAUCAGAUAAAGGGCUCCCCUCAGUCCAGCCCCCGGCUGAGGAGGGCGUGAGGAGAUGGUUUCUUGUAUAGGAUUUGGCCAGCAUCCUCCUCCGUGUCCCCGGAGUGCCAGGGGUUGGCAGAUCUACAGGAACCCCACAAAGCCAACUUCUGCCUGCAGGUUAGCCUGAGGAGCCAGCAGAGCUGUCUGUCUCUCCACACCACAGUGCCUGCUGCCUGGACCCUGGGGCUAGCCCACACCAGAGGGCACAGGACACUGUGGCUGUCAUAUUCACUAGCAAAGCUCCUACACAUCCUACCUGCCACCCUUCUCUGCUUCCUGCCGUGUGAAUUCGAGAGCAUGCGCAGUUCCUAGAGCCUGUUCCCUCUUGUUUUUUUAAAAGAACCAUUAAAAAAAAAAUACGUGUUUCGUUCUGUUACUCCAAUUGUAGCCAAAAGAAAAGAAAAUUAAUUAUAAUGUAUUAAAAAAUUUGAAAGCUUGCAA